UAGUUCAAUGAGGAAGCGCGGACACUUCUUUUAAAGAAAUACAAGACUAUCAUUCACCCAGGAGAGGAAAGCCUUCACAUUCCAUUGUCGAACAUUGGCAUGAGAGAGGGAUUUGACGCCUAUAGUGGAAAAGAAUUAGGAUAAACACCAGACAAUCAGCAUGGAAGAUGUGUUUAUGAACGACAUAUGGAGUGAACAUAAUGGCGAUAUUCGAGCCUUUCACUGAUUGCAAGAGCAAAGAUGGACUCACUGGCCACUGCGUCAUGACCGAAGAACUGAUUGAAGGAACAUUUCUUCAUGUGAACUGACCAGAUGCAAGGUACAAUGAACUGAAAGAAGAAGGGCAUUUUCAUCAAAGGAACAUUUAUUGGUUUGUCCGUUGACGGUUGCCUGAAGGAGGACCAAGACGGCGAGUUAAGAUGGGUUGCCUCUGAUUCGCCCUGUUGCGAUUGGGGUGCCUCUGAUUCGCCCUGUUGCGAUUGGGGUGCCUCGCCUCCUUGACACCCUCCUUGAGACUCAAUAUAAGGCAAGGUGAGCUGCCGUUGGUUCUUAGGUUGAGAAGGUUUGUAAAUGAUUGAAGUGUUGUGUGUUGGAUGAUUGUACAUUGUUUAACCCAGAAGAUUGUAGCCACCACCAGAUCCCCCCCUCCCCAUGUCCUCGUGCUCCUUUUGCCGCGUGCGUCUGCUGCUGCCGUUGGCUGCUGCGCCGCUGCUGGUUGCCUUGCCUGCAGCUGCUCUGCUGUUCUGCUAGGCGCUGCUACUGUUGUUUCCUGCUGCCGCUAGCUGCUGCUCAUCCUGUUGUUGCUGCUCCAUGCACUACUGGCCCGUCGCUGCUACUGCUGAGUGCUGGCCAUGGCCGAGCGGCUGUGUGUGUGUGCUCGCGCGCGCGUGUGCGUGCGUGCGUGCAUGUGUGUGUCAUGUAACACCCAUGUGCUGGAACAUUUCAUUCCCUUGUGAAAUUAAUCGUUUAUGUGUAUGAAACAAAAACGUUCAGUUUUAGUGUCCAGUUCACUGCCAAUUCUCUUCCUGCUUUUGUCGUGACUAUGCAAAUCAAUUAUCCUGUGGAUUGACUAUGCCUUGCUUACCUUGCAUUGGGUUUAUUUUGCUGUUUGUGAUAUAGUAAACUCAUCUAUGAUGGAUGGUUACUUUGAUUUUUUAGAUGUAAACAGUUUCUCAAACCUUGAUACUAACUUGACCAUUACCUGCUUAAUUACAACGUUUGGACUGGCACCAAGGCGCACAGUCGGCUCACCGCAAGUACACCUACGCCGCCGCCUCCCCGGGGGGCUGCAAGGUGAAGUGGACGGCCGAGGAGAAGCCGCACGGCGGGGCUGGGCUCUCAAGUGGCAGGCGGAGCUCGCCUCCCCCCAACGACGUUAGCUUUGAUCACAAGUGGAAGUGGGAGCCCAAGUCCAAGCCUGGUGCCGCCAGCAAGGCCAAGACCAAGCUCGAGGAAGCCAGCGAGGAUGACAAGAAUAAGCCGGCGAUGAAGUGCACGCACAUCGAGGAUGUCCUCGCCGGCUGCGACGCCAUCCGCAAGGAUGAUGACUAUCUAAUGGUGAUUCC